GCGUACAUGAGCCAGCGCACCACCGACGC
rnacentral:sRNA from 1 species